rnacentral:misc_RNA from 1 species
GAUGAAGAACGUAGCGAAAUGCGAUAAGUAAUGUGAAUUGCAGAAUUCAGUGAAUCAUCGAAUCUUUGAACGCACAUUGCGCCCGCCAGUAUUCUGGCGGGCAUGCCUGUCUGAGCGUCAUUUCAACCCUCAUGCCCCUAGGGCGUGGUGUUGGGGAUCGGCCAAAGCCCGCGAGGGACGGCCGGCCCCUAAAUCUAGUGGCGGACCCGUCGUGGUCUCCUCUGCGAAGUAGUGAUAUUCCGCAUCGGAGAGCGAUGAGCCCCUGCCGUUAAACCCCCAACUUUCCAAGGUUGACCUCAGAUCAGGUAGGAAUACCCGCUGAACUUAAGCAUAUCAAUAAGCGGAGGA